rnacentral:rRNA from 1 species
CAGUAGCCGCGGGAAUACGAAGGGGGCUAGCGUUGCUCGGAAUGACUGGGCGUAAAGGGCGCGUAGGCGGUUUGUCGAGUUAGAUGUGAAAUUCCCGGGCUUAACCUGGGGACUGCAUUUGAUACUGGCAGGCUUGAGUGUGGAAGAGGGUCGUGGAAUUCCCAGUGUAGAGGUGAAAUUCGUAGAUAUUGGGAAGAACACCGGUGGCGAAGGCGGCGACCUGGUCUUUUACUGACGCUGAGGCGCGAAAGCGUGGGGAGCAAACAGGAUUAGAUACCCCGGUAGUCCCUGUCUCUUAUAA